GUCUAAGGGAGUUCAUUUUGCUCAUACUGUUUUCUGUCAUAUUCUUUGUUUUCAACACUAUGUCUAUGAUAUUAAUUCAUGUUGUGGCAUAUGCUUUCAGAGAAUUCAUUUUCUAAGUAACAUGUAGGCUUCCAUUCUAUUCGUUUGACAGAUUUAUUAUUCAUUCUCCAGUGAAUGCACACGAGGAUUUUCCCCUAGAUUUUGGGGCUACUGCAAACAGGACAAUCUUCUUGUACAUUCCUUUAGAUACCCUGGUGUAAUAUGUAUCUAUCCCUGAGAUAUAAAAAUUAAGCCUUAGGGAACUUCCUAACUCAGUUAACUUAUUAAAUGAUGUGAUAAGUAAUGCAAUGCUUCUUUAGAUUCCUUUGCGUCUUCUGUAUUUGUCACCUAUCUAUAAUCACUGACUUUCCCUUUUCUCAUUCUCACACUUUGUCUUGUUUUGUUAGCUGGGAUUUCAGCACAAUGUUGAACAGAAGUGGUGGUGGCAUUCUUCUGCUUAUUUAUCAAUUAUGUGCGAUAAGGACAACUAGAGGAUGGUUGCAGAUCAUUCUCCCAGCUGCUACUGAACCGGGUUCAUCUCAGCUGACCCACAGGAAGCCAAAACGCUGAGGUGCUGAGGUGUGCAGCAGAGAGAAGACUUAUCUGCAAGGCAGCCAAGCGAGGAGAUGGGAGAACAGAUCUCAAUUCCACCACCCUGAAGGCAAGGGGUGUAGGGUAUGUAUGUGAUAAAGAAUAAAGAAGCAGCUCUGCCUUGAGUGUGGGGAGCGUGGAGAUCUUGAGGAGAGGUGAUUUGAAAAAGAUGUGGUAAUUCUCAUCCUGCGCAGGCAUAACUGAGCUAGAAGCCCUGCAGAGUCAUAAGGGAAGACUCUGAGCAGGAUUCGAGGGUCGAGGUUUGGUCCCCUGAUUUUGCACACCCAGGUCGAGGGUCCAUGGUUCUAACCAGUCUUAACAAGCUGACAUCCAACUAGACACAGCUUACUCUGGCUCCUCCCAGCUGGAUGUAGCUGACUCCAGGUUCCAG
rnacentral:lncRNA from 1 species